rnacentral:rRNA from 1 species
UACGAAGGGGGCUAGCGUUGCUCGGAAUCACUGGGCGUAAAGCGCACGUAGGCGGAUUGUUAAGUCAGGGGUGAAAUCCUGGAGCUCAACUCCAGAACUGCCCUUGAUACUGAGGAUCUUGAGUUCGGGAGAGGUGAGUGGAACUGCGAGUGUAGAGGUGAAAUUCGUAGAUAUUCGCAAGAACACCAGUGGCGAAGGCGGCUCACUGGCCCGAUACUGACGCUGAGGCACGAAAGCGUGGGGAGCAAACAGG